rnacentral:rRNA from 1 species
GACGAACGCUGGCGGCGUGCUUAACACAUGCAAGUCGAGCGGUAAGGCCCUUUCGGGGGUACACGAGCGGCGAACGGGUGAGUAACACGUGGGUGACCUGCCCUCAGCUCUGGGAUAAGCCUGGGAAACCGGGUCUAAUACUGGAUAUGACUCCAUGACGCAUGUUGUGGGGUGGAAAGCCUUGUGCGGCUGAGGAUGGGCCCGCGGCCUAUCAGCUUGUUGGUGGGGUGAUGGCCUACCAAGGCGACGACGGGUAGCCGGCCUGAGAGGGCGACCGGCCACACUGGGACUGAGACACGGCCCAGACUCCUACGGGAGGCAGCAGUGGGGAAUCUUGCGCAAUGGGCGAAAGCCUGACGACGCAACGCCGCGU